UUCUAAUUUAACCUUUGCCACAUCCUAGCC
rnacentral:piRNA from 1 species